UUAGUACUCCCUCCGUCCGAAAAUACUUGUCAUCAAAAUGGAUAAAAAGAGAUGUAUUUAGAACUAAAAUACAUCUAGAUACAUCCUCUUUUAUCCAUUUUGAUGACAAGUAUUUUCGGACGGAGGGAGUAAUUC
rnacentral:pre_miRNA from 1 species